rnacentral:rRNA from 1 species
AGUGAACGCUGGCGGUAGGCCUAACACAUGCAAGUCGAACGGCAGCACAGGAGAGCUUGCUCUCUGGGUGGCGAGUGGCGGACGGGUGAGGAAUACAUCGGAAUCUACUUUUUCGUGGGGGAUAACGUAGGGAAACUUACGCUAAUACCGCAUACGACCUACGGGUGAAAGCAGGGGACCUUCGGGCCUUGCGCGAUUGAAUGAGCCGAUGUCGGAUUAGCUAGUUGGCGGGGUAAAGGCCCACCAAGGCGACGAUCCGUAGCUGGUCUGAGAGGAUGAUCAGCCACACUGGAACUGAGACACGGUCCAGACUCCUACGGGAGGCAGCAGUGGGGAAUAUUGGACAAUGGGCGCAAGCCUGAUCCAGCCAUACCGCGUGGGUGAAGAAGGCCCUCGGGUUGUAAGGCCCUUUUGUUGGGAAAGAAAUCCAGCUGGCUAAUACCCGGUUGGGAUGACGGUACCCAAAGAAUAAGCACCGGCUAACUUCGUGCCAGCAGCCGCCGUAA